rnacentral:pre_miRNA from 1 species
GCUUUGGAUUAGGCUUUGGCUUUAAUGGGAUGUUGUGGCUGGUCUGAUCAUCUGUCCAGACUACUAAAGCUUUCUCCAUAUCAGC